UAUUUAUUUAUUUUAAUGUAUUAAUGUUUUAAUAAAUAAAUUCAGUAUUAAUAAAUAAAUAAAAAUUAGUAAUAAAUGUUUAAUUGUAAUUACAUAUUGUAUAAUAUAUGUGUGAGUGUGUGCUCAUGUAAAGAUAGAUAUUAAAAAUAUGUAAACAAUUAUGUUGUAUUAUGUAUAUAGAUAAAAAUAUGAUGUAAAAUAAUUAUAUACAAUAUUUUAUAUUUAUAGAUAGAUAUUAAUAGAAAUAGGCUUUAUAUACACUGCUCAAAAAAAUUAAAGGAACACUUUGAAAACAUAUCAGAUCUCUGGGGAAAAAUAUCAUGCUGGAUAUCUAUACUGAUAUGGACUGGGUAAUGUGUUAGGAACGAAAGGAUGCCACAUCAUUUGAUGGAAAUGAAAAUGAUCAACCUACAGAGGGCUGAAGACACCCCGAAAAAGUGGAAAAGUGAUGCAGCAGACUAGUCCAUUUUGCUGAAAUUUCAUUGCAGCAACUCAAAAUGGUACUCAGUAGUUUGUAUGGCCCCCGCGUGUUUGUAUGCAUGCCUGACAACGUCGGCGCAUGCUCCUAAUGAGACGACGGAUGGUGUCCUGGGGUAUUUCCUCCCAGAUCUGGACCAGGGCAUCACUGAGAUCCUGGACAGUCUGAGGUGCAACCUGGUGGCGUCGGAUGGACUGAAACAAUGUCCCAGAGGUGUUCUAUUGGAUUUAGGUCAAGUGAGCGUGGGGGCCAUUCAAUGGUAUCAGUUCUUACAUCCUCCAGGAACUGCCUGCAUACUCUCGCCACAUGAGGCCGGGCAUUGUCAUGCACCAGGAGGAACCCAGGACCCACUGCAGCAGCGUAGGGUCUGACAAUGGGUCCAAAGAUUUCAUCCCCAUACCUAAUGGCAGUCAAGGUGCCAUUGUCGAGCCUGUAGAGGUCUGUGCGUCCUUCCAUGGAUAUGCCUCCCCAGACCAUCACUGACUCACCACCAAACUGGUCAUGCUGAACGAUGUUACAGGCAGCAUAACAUUCUCGACGGCUUCUCUAGACCCUUUCAUGUCUGUCACAAGUGCUCAGGGUGAACCUGCUCUCAUUUGUGAAAAGCACAGGGUGCCAGUGGCGGACCUGCCAAUUCUGGUGUUCAAUGGCAAAUGCCAGUCGAGCUCCACGGUGCCGGGCAGCGAGCACAGGGCCCAUUAGAGGACGUCGGGCCCCCAGGCCACCCUCAUGAAGUCUGUUUCUGAUUGUUUGGUCAGAGACAUUCAUACAAGUGGCCUGCUGGAGGUCAUUUUGUAGGGCUCUGGCAGUGCUCAUCAUGUUACUCCUUGCACAAAGGACUUUCUACGGCCCUGUCCAGAUCUCCUAGAGUAACUGCCUGUGUCCUGGAAUCUCCUCCAUGCUCUUGAGAUUGUGCUGGGAGACACAGCAAAUCUUCUGGAAAUGACACGUAUUGAUGUGCCAUCUGGAGGAUUUGGACCGCCUGUGCAACCUCUGUAGGGUCCAGGUAUUGCCUCAUGCUACCAGUAGAGACAUUGACCCUAGCCAAAUGCAAAACUAGUGAAAAACAGUCAGAAAAGAUAAGUAGGGAAAAAAAUGUCAGUGGCCUCCACAUGUAAAACCAUACCUGUUUUGGGGGUCGUCUCAUUGUUGCCCAUCUAGUGCACCUGUUGUUAAUUUCAUUAACACCAAAGCAGCUGAAACUGAUUAACAACCCCCUCUGCUACUUAACUGACCAGAUCGAUAUCCCAGGGGUUUAAUUGACUUGAUGCUAUACUCUGAUUAAAAAGUGUUCCUUUAAUUUUUUUGUGCAGUGUAUAGGAGUGUGUGUAUAGUUAGAUUUAAAAAAAAAAGUACAAUGUACAAAUAUAUAUUUAAAUAUUACAUAUGUAUAUUGUCACGGAACAGAAGAAUGCAAACACAUGUAAUAGUAUGAACAGAUUAUUGAACAAAACUCAGGCAGAUAGCAGGUGAGUUUCUGGUUAGCAGAUCAUUACUGUGACGAUACUGGCAUGAGAAUGAUAGUCUUAUCUGUUGUGCAGGUUCUGGAGAGGAGUUGCUCAAGGGCUGAAGAUAGGUAGAUUGUGAUACACAGAUGACAGAAGAAGAAGGUCAGGAUUGCGUGAUGCACUGCAGAGCAAUGUGGCUGUCACCUGAAAAAUUGAGAGGCUGGAUUUAGCGACGGGGCGCGUUGUCAUGGCAAUACUGUUCUCUGAUGACUCACACUCGUGGAUGGUGAGUAUCUGGAGAGCGGGUGGAGGGAGGUGGAGGUGGGUGAGCCGCGCGUUCUUCAAGUGAUGGAAGUCGCCCUCCGUAAGCGUGUACCUGAGAGUGCUGCUUCGUUGAAGGAGACCCGGCGGCCGGUUGUGCCCGUGGAGAGGAAACGCUCUGUCUCCAUGUCGUGGGAGCUGGCUGCCGACAGGCAAUCUGACUCAUCGACGCGAAUCGUAAUCUCUGUGCGGGGA